AGUUCUGCAUCAAUGUGUCUGCCAGAUGUGUAAGGAGCAGUGUAGACAGAGAAUCUUCUGCACAGAUUGUUUAGCCUUUAGUUUAGCUGAGAAAUUAGAAAUAUUUUUAGGGGCUACCCUUGAUUUUUAAAAUUUACAUUAGGCAUGUUCCUAAUUUGGUCCUGUAAUUAUCCAAAACAUCAGGAGGCGCUCUGCACAAAACAGCAAAGGCACCAUAGCAGCAUGUUAAAAAACAGAAUAAAUAAAAAUAAAAGACGUGCAAAUGCCCCUGAUAACAUUAUUUGACAAUUAUCAUGUCACCUCGCUGUGCAUGAAAAGUGCUGCCCUGAUGUAAGUCCAAAACGCUGCUAGAGGCAAAUAAUAAUGUAUAAUUAUAAAGGUAGUACUUUUGAGAUCCUUGGUGAUUAAUAAAACAAUUUACUUCCAAG